rnacentral:rRNA from 1 species
UGACGGUACCUGCAGAAGAAGCGCCGGCUAACUACGUGCCAGCAGCCGCGGUAAUACGUAGGGCGCGAGCGUUGUCCGGAAUUAUUGGGCGUAAAGAGCUUGUAGGCGGUUUGUUGCGUCUGCUGUGAAAGACCGGGGCUUAACCCCGGUAUUGCAGUGGGUACGGGCAGACUAGAGUGCAGUAGGGGAGACUGGAAUUCCCUGGUGUACGCGGUGAAAUGCGCAAGAUAUCCAGGAGGAACACCCCGAUUGGCGAAGGCAGGUCUCUGGGCCUGUAACCUGACGCUGAGAAGCGAAGGCAUGGGGAGCGAACAGGAUUAGAUACCCUGGUAGUCCAUGCCGUAAACGUUGGGCACUAGGUGUGGGGGACAUUCCACGUUUUCCGCGCCGUANCUAACGCAUUAAGUGCCCCGCCUGGGGAGUACGGCCGCAAGGCUGAAACUCAAAGGAAUUGACGGGGGCCCNCACAAGCGGCGGAACAUGCGGAAUAAUUCGAUGCACCCCGAAAAACCUUACCAAGGCUUGACA